AUGGGAUCAAUCGGGCGUACAUCGCCCUGCUCCCGAAAACUGCCGGUGUGCCGACGCCGGGGGGUUCUGCCCAGUCUCCCUCCAAAACGCCGACGUCAAGAUCCUCUACCGCGGGUUGACCACGCGGCUGCAGAGGCAGAUCAGCCUGCUGAUCGACGAAGACCAGUCCGGAUUCAUCCCCGGCAGGAGCAUCGCCGAGACUUCGUCUAUGCGGCCGAGGUGGUUCAGUGCUGCUACAAGAGAGUUGCCCCCACCCUUGUGUUCAAGCUGGACUUUGCUAAAGCCUUCGACUGCAUCAACUGGGCGAGCCUGCGAGUGAUCAUGCUGGCGCGUGGGUUCCCCGCGCUCUGGUGUGACUGGAUGGAUUUGAUCCUCAAGUCCUCGCGUUCCGCUGUCCUUCUCAAUGGCGUGCCUGGGAAGUGGUUCCAGACUCGCUGCGGGCUGCGGCAGGGGGACCCGAUCUCCCCC
rnacentral:rRNA from 1 species